ACGCUCGACACCUACGGGAGCAGCAGUGGGGAAUAUUGCACAAUGGGGGAAACCCUGAUGCAGCGACGCCGCGUGAGCGAAGAAGUAUUUCGGUAUGUAAAGCUCUAUCAGCAGGGAAGAUAAUGACGGUACCUGACUAAGAAGCUCCGGCUAAAUACGUGCCAGCAGCCGACGGUAAUCGUGAGGCGGGCGUGGACAAGGC
rnacentral:rRNA from 1 species